UGGGGAAUAUUGCGCAAUGGGGGAAACCCUGACGCAGCAACGCCGCGUGAAUGAAGAAGGCCUUAGGGUUGUAAAGUUCUGUUUUCUGGGACGAUAAUGACGGUACCAGAGGAGGAAGCCACGGCUAACUACGUGCCAGCAGCCGCGGUAAUACGUAGGUGGCAAGCGUUGUCCGGAUUUACUGGGCGUAAAGGAUGCGUAGGCGGAUGUUUAAGUGAGAUGUGAAAUACCCGAGCUCAACUUGGGUGCUGCAUUUCAAACUGGAUAUCUAGAGUGCAGGAGAGGAAAGCGGAAUUCCUAGUGUAGCGGUGAAAUGCGUAGAGAUUAGGAAGAACACCAGUGGCGAAGGCGGCUUUCUGGACUGUAACUGACGCUGAGGCAUGAAAGCGUGGGGAGCAAACAGG
rnacentral:rRNA from 3 species